UCCCUCUUAGCUCAGUGGUAGAGCGCGUCACUAGUACCGAAACCGGUAUGACGAGGUCAGUCGUUCAAGUCGGCUAGAGGGAA